CCACCCCCGAUCCCUAGAGCGGUGUUUUGACUACUUUGAGCUAGUUAACAAAAAUACCCAUCUUCAUAAAGGCCUCUUGGGACAGCACAUUGGCCGCACUUCCAUUGUCAACCAAGACCCUCCUUACUUCAAAAUUGGCGAUGAUGGCAGAUAUGACCAAGGCAUCGUCAUGGGAUUAUGAUAUGUCUUCUGAGUCCUCCGAUCCAAAUGUGAUAUCUUUCAUGUCGUUGGGAGCUGUCAUUAGUGUGGAAUUGUGUCGUCGGGCAUAUUGUUUGUGCCCACUAUUUGAAUCUCUCCCCGACAUAAUCCCCCCGAUUAUAAUGUUGUUGGUACCUGCUGUUGGCUGGUUACCUCUCCUAGAUUCUGUAGUCUUCCCAUUUUGCGAUCAUUUCUGGGAUGCUUGUCAUGCCUGAUAUACUCCUUUAGGAAUUCUCUUUUUAUCAAAGCUUCAAUCUCAUAUUGCAAUGUUAUGCAAUCCUCUAUUGUAUGCCCAUGGUCACGGUGGUAGUCACAGUACUUGUU
rnacentral:lncRNA from 1 species